rnacentral:rRNA from 1 species
AACGAACGCUGGCGGCAUGCCUAACACAUGCAAGUCGAACGAGACCUUCGGGUCUAGUGGCGCACGGGUGCGUAACGCGUGGGAAUCUGCCCUUGGGUUCGGGAUAACAGUUGGAAACGACUGCUAAUACCGGAUGAUGUCUUCGGACCAAAGAUUUAUCGCCCAGGGAUGAGCCCGCGUCGGAUUAGCUAGUUGGUGAGGUAAAGGCUCACCAAGGCGACGAUCCGUAGCUGGUCUGAGAGGAUGAUCAGCCACACUGGGACUGAGACACGGCCCAGACUCCUACGGGAGGCAGCAGUGGGGAAUAUUGGACAAUGGGCGAAAGCCUGAUCCAGCAAUGCCGCGUGAGUGAUGAAGGCCUUAGGGUUGUAAAGCUCUUUUACCCGGGAUGAUAAUGACAGUACCGGGAGAAUAAGCCCCGGCUAACUCCGUGCCAGCAGCCGCCGUAACAC